GCCAAUGUGGAAUAGUGGUUUAAGUGUUGGACUGUGACUCUGGAGAACAGGGUUCAAAUCCCUAUUUAGCCA